AUGCCCCUCCUGCUCUCUGAAGCUCCCUCCACAGACUCCUCCACCCCAGAACCUUCCGACAGAGAUGAGUUCUCCCUGUGUUGCCCAAGCUGGUCUGGAACUCCUGGGCUCAAGCAAUCCUCCCACCUCCCAGUGUUGAGAUUAUAGAUUCUCCAUCCUUCUCUUAAUUGAAGAUUGUGUUUUUCAAGCUAUGGUUCAUCAUUGCUGCUUUCCUUACAAAAUGAAUUCGAAUGGCAAUCAGCAUUUUCUUAAGGAAUAUAGUAGAUUUAAUUACAUAAAAAGAAUUGAAAAUAUCAGAGACUAUUGUACAUAACUAUUUACGUUCCAUGAAAUUGUUAGUAUACACACACAUCCCUGAACUAGGUCAGGACGUAAAGUAUACUUAGUAUACUUGGUUAAGAUGAAAAUAUUUUGAAAAGACCAUUUAAGAAGAAAAUGACCCUAGAAUUCAUCUGGAGCUUCCAGUUAGGAGGCUAGAGCUUCCUGUUCCAGGAAGGCUUGGUGCUCCGGGAGAGAGUGAGUCCCCUGGUGAAAGGUUCAGGCUGAGGGAAGCCCAGGCCCUGGCAGUUCCCCCUGACCCUCCACCCGACAUAUGGAGGCUGGAAGGCCCACCUGUGUUGUCUCACUUUUCUCCCUUUUAGGUAUGUCUAGAGGUCAGUUUGGACAGGGACAGGAACCUCUAGACAUGUUUUUCUGGGUGAACGAGAUAAGCGGAGAAAUCACCUACCCCCCGCAGAAGGCAGAUGCACCUGCUGUUUCUCCUGAGAGCCCACAAAAGAAGCCCCCAUUUCAGCCCAGGAGUGUGCAGGAGGCUCCUUGCAGUCCCCAGGGCCCGCCUGCACAGAGGCCUGCCCUUGCACCUCCAUCUAAGCCUUCUCUGAAAGACUCAGGCUCAAGAAACCCCUGCCCAUCUGCACCCACCUGGGCCAGGCCAAAGCCGGAGGAGUGAGGAGCCCCCACCGUUCUCAGCAAUCCCUGUCACCAUCUCAUCACCAGGAGUGACUCUGCCCAUACUCGGACCCCUGGGACCAGCCCUUCAGCCACCGGUCUCGACCUCUCCUCUCAGCCCUUCUGCACCCUGGGCCUUCACCUGCAAGCUGAACAAUGUCCUUACUGGGAAUAACUGGUUUUCCUUUUGAAUCUUAAGAAAAUUUGUCUGGCUACACUCUUUAAGCACCUUCCUGAGCCACCCGUGGCCAGGCUCUGCUGGCCGCAUCUGCCUGGCCCCAUCUACCUUCCCUGGAAGCACAGGACUCACCCCAGGGGUCUCACAGGAACAUGCCCAGUGCUUUCAAACCCAGUAAAAUUUUACUUAGAUUUUG
rnacentral:lncRNA from 1 species